CUGCGCAUGCGAGGGAUCUGGGUUGCGGGCUCCUCAUGAGACUCUAAUACCUGCUGAUCUGUCACUGUCUCCCAUCACCCUCACAUGGGACUGUCUAGCUGCAGGAAAACAAGCUCAGGGCUCCCACUGAUCCUACAUUAUGGUGAGUUGUAUAAUUAUUUCAUUAUAUAUUGCAAUGUAGUAAUAACAGAAAUGCAGUGCCCAAUAAACGUCGUGUGCCUGGGUCAUCCUGAAACCACCUUUUCCUCCCCUGCCUCAUUCAUGGAAAAAUUGUCGCCCAUGAAACCCUUCUCUGGUGCCAAAAAGGUUGCAGACCACUGCCUUACAGAAUGUGGGCAGCCUAAAAACUAAGCUGGUGAGACUGAGACUAAAGGUAUCCCCAGAUUUGGGUUGUUACUAACCCAUCAGGGACUCUCUCAGACACCCUCAGCAGGAAUGGAGAGUGAGGUGGCCCAGGUGCUUAGAGACACAGAAAGGGAGCCAGAGAAGCCAUUAGGAAACAGAGACGUGGCACAGGGAAGAAGAGUAGAGAAACCUGAGUCAUGCGGUAGCAGCUUGAAGACAGGGCGAUGAGUAAGGUGCAGGCAUUUGCAGAGAGGGGGCAGUAAUAGAGGUCACGAGGCUGGAAAAGCGUCUGGUGGGCAGAAACCAGGAGGCAGAUGGGAGAAAAAGAAACAGCCAUGGGAGAAGCAGGGUGAGAGCGACCUGAAAAGUCUGUCUGCAGCGUGGACAGUUCCAGGGUUGCUUUUGGUCCCUGCAGCUGCAGUGGCCUCCAGAUCAUCCAUGGGCAGCCGCUGCCCACCAUCUCAGCAUGGUUUGGCAGGUGCAUUUUAAAGUGAGUUCCUGGCAUCUUAUAGAGAUAAAUAGGGCAAAAAGUAAUAAUAAUAAUCAGACAUAGCCUUUACCCUCAGGGAGUUUAGUCUCCGGUUCUCAUAAAAGCUGAGCUACUACAGUGCACACAAAAAUCAGAGUCCGGUGGCUAAACUCAUGUGUUUUAUAAUUGAGCAGAAAUGGACUUAAUUCCCAGCUCUGCCAUUUGCUAACUAUGUGAUCUUGAAAGCAUUUCCUGGUCUCUCUAAGGCUCCACUUCCUCAUCUGUAAAAAGGUCACAAGAACAGCACCUGCACAACCAGGGCACUGGAAGAAUUGAGGGAGGCAGAGCCUGCAGGGCUGGGCACGCACCUGGCAUGUGAGGCUUCCGCGGACGGCAGCCUUUAUUACCCAAGCUCAUUAGACCAACAGGCAUUUCCUCCAUUCACCUGCAUUACUAUUGUGUGAAUUCUGAUUCCUCAGGUGCUGCUGUCAUGCAGGAAUUUGGCUCCUGAAGCAGGAGAGGGAGAGGAGACCAGGGAAAUGGGGACAGCUACUCCCGGAAGUUAUCACAGGGGAGAAGGGCUUAGAGCGCAACUUAAUAAAAAGAGCAUCGCAUCAAUGCUUCCUGGGGCCCACUGGCACCCCCUGGAAGCUGCACAUUCCCUCCCCAGCCAGGCCUCUGCUAGCAGCCUCUCUGUGCUAGAGGGAACCUAGGGACAGGGACAGCUCCAGCUGCAGGCAAGUUCCUAGAAAGUCCAGUGGAAUGGAUGUCAUUCCUCUACUGUGAGUAAUCGGCCCAAACAAAGCCCACUGGUAUUUCCGAGUCCAUUCCCAGUGCCCAGAGCUGGACCCAGUAGCUCAGCAGCUGCGAGGAGUGGAAUGCAGAUCUCGAGCUCGCUGCCCUAGAUUCAGCCUUGGGAAAAGACUCGUGGCCCCAAGCAGGGAAGGCACUCUCAAGGUCAUCUCGUCCAUGCUCCCGCCUCUGGGCCCAGACAUUGUAAGACGCGGGGCCUGGGGACCCACGGUAGCCCAAGCGUGGGGACCAGGGAGUCUGCGGGAGGAUUCUGAGGAUAUAAAGUGGAGCCAGGAAAAGGAUGUUCCUUUCUCUGUCACCUCCUCGAGCUUCCAUUCGAAGGAGUUGCAGGAGAGGGGAAAGAAGUCAGGAAAGGAAAAGCUGAGCCUCCGAGGUGUCUCUGCCCCGACUUCUCUCCUGCUCCUCCUCUGGUCUCGGGGCAGGCCAGCCCUGUCUGCCUCCUAUCGCUUUCCUCGCUUCUGGGCCACCAGUCUGUCGCAUCCACCAUUUCUGGAAGUUCAGGGAUAAAGCUAUCCUUAUUCUUUCGGAAUAGCGGCAGCUGCUCUGUCAGUUCGGGGUGGCAGGGGUUUCCCUAACUGGGUUGCCGAUGAGCCCAGGUCCCUCACACUGGGGAGGCAGGUCUUUGGCCUUAGCUCACUGGGUCACCCCAGCAGUUGUUCCAGGGAGGUCUUAUCGCCACCUCUUGACAGACGAGGAAGCAGGAGCACAGCAACAUGAAAGGACUUGCUCGAGACCCCUCGCCGGUCCUUCCACUGACGGGACACACCCGCGUCUCAAGGCUGAUUUUCAAGGAACAGAAACUUCCACUGCUGCCUGUGCCUCGCCUGGCUCCCACCCAAUAUGAAAGAGUGGCACACUGAUAGGUCACACGCCCCAGUUAAUUGCUCCCUAGCUCCCACGGGAAAAGCCAUAACGUGUCCUUUCCAAAAUGGUGACUGUCAUUUCCCCCAGCCUAAUUUAAGGCUGGCAUUAACAUUCCCCAGAGUUAACCUGGGCUGUGCUCCUGUGCAGUUGCUGUGCAGAAAUGUUUCCUCCGUGUGCAUUGCCUGCCUGUCAUUUCUUAGCUUUUGCAGAGUGUAAGCUGUGGUCCUGGGGGAACAGGGCAGUAGGUAGGGUUGGGGGUCCAAGGGUCAGUGGCCCUCAAACCUGGUACCCUGUAAACACCUUGGUCAUUUUGAAUUUACCAGCUCAGGAAAGAAGAUUCCUUGCAAGCGCACAGUUGCCUGUGGUCAGAGGGAUGAUCUCAAAGUGCUCGUACUUCCUGGGCCAGCAGCCAGCUGCCUUGGAUGGUCAGAAGGUGAAAUUUGAAUGCUGGUGAAUGGGAGAGCGGAAGUUCAGCAAGGCUGAGUUAAGCCCAUUCAUGAAAAAGAUCUGGUCUCACUUCCUUAUUGCCAGGAGUCGUGUGUGAAGUGUGCGCGCGCGUGUGUGUGCGCGCGCAUGCAUGUGAGCUUGAUUACUUUCUGCCUCACUUCUUCCUCCACCUCUACUCUUUUCUUUUUUUUCCUCUCUCUCUGAAAAUCUUAAGUUCAUCCUCAGGAAACUGCCCAAGAAUGUGUAUCUGGUCUGUGGUUUGCUGAAAAAAAGAAAGAAAGAUUCAUACAAAAGCAAUUAUCUCUCUCUUUCACCCUGUCUCUCUCUGUCUGUCUCUCCCUCUCUCUCUCUCUCUCUGUGUGUCUCCCUCUCUCCCUCUCUCUCCCUCUCUCUCUCUCUCUCACACACACACACACACACACAAAUACACACACACGCAGUUUCCAGGCUGUGCUGCAUGCGCCUCCCUGGCUGUUCUCCCAUCCAGUCGUGUCUGGCUUAGGGAGGUGAAGUCAUCUCUGGGUGGGAGAUAUCCCGGUCAAAGGUGCGGUGGGAAGGCCAUCAAGAUUGACCCACAGGGAAAAAAUUCAAGGUUAUCCAGCUAGCUCCCACCUCAGUGGAUCACAUGGUGCCUCUGGCAGGCUGUGCCUCUGGCUAGUGGCGUGAUUCCCAGCCGACUAGAAGCCUGCUGUGUGGCAGGUACCUCCCCUGUUAUCUGUGAGAUGGAGGUGAUCAUGAUAGUGGGCUCCUCGUGGGUUAUUGCAGUGAUGAAGGUGACACACACAAGGUGCUCAGCACAGCGUGUAGUCAUAGGUGAUCUUGCUGAAUGCCUCCAGGGCAGGGGAAUCACCAGCUCCAGGGCAGCCUGUCCCAUUUUCAGCAACACAGCAAAGAAGUCACCAACCCUGCUGGGGUUUUCAAGUCUUGGGAGGAAUCGAGGCACUUCCUUUUCCUUUAGAAACAGAAACCAAGAUGCUGACCAAGACAAAGUAUGCACCCAGUGCAGUUUGACCUACCCAGAUUCACAGGGGCCUCGCGGAUAUGUGCCUCAGAAAGAAGACGCACCUCAGGGAAGGAUAUGACACCAGAGCCCUCGAAAUGAUUGACUGGAGCAGACAUGGAAACAGAGAUCCUGGUGGUGGAGUUUGAAGCUGCUGGAAUUCUCCAAGCUGCUCUCCCUGCCUUUUAGGCUGUUUCUCCAAGUGGUGCCGGUGACACAAAGAGCUGUUCUUAUCCUCUCUCGUCCUGAGUUAUUAUCCAAUGGAGUCGAAGCACAGAGAGGUUAGUAAAUUGGCCAAGUUCGUACAACUCUUGAGUGGCAGAGCUCGGAUUCAAACCUUGUCAAAUUCCGAAGUUCAGGCUCUCAGCAUCGACAACAAACUGUCUCUCUGAUGACUCCUCAAUCCUUUGUCUCCCAGUUAGGCACACCAGGAUUUAAUCACCAUCUCAAAAAGACUGGUCUCAUUCAGCUGUCCUCUUCUUCCUUCCUUCAUUCACUUCAAUCACGCAUUCGUAUACCAAGUAAAAGACUUACUGUCUACCAUGUGUGUGCUAAACACUGAGAAAGAACAAAAUAUUUUCAACUCCAUUCCUCUACUAGAGAUGUGAUCGUUUGGGAAGCAUGAUCGAUAGCACAGCAGAGAGUAAAUAUUCCCAGACCUGAGAGCAAGAGGGAUCACCUCAUUAGCUCUGACCUCUUCUCGCCUCCCUGCCUCCCGGUUCGCUCUGUGGCUUUGAAAGAUGAAUACCCGAUAUUUGGAAAUGAAGGGAAUAAAACUGCUCUUGGAAACCAUGAAAUGAACACACAAUGCAUCAGAGCCAAACUUGCAAUCACUCAAGAAAGAAUGAUUCUCAAGGCAUCGAGCCCCCCGGAAGUUAAUUGAAAGGCUGUCUACAGAAAAGAUGGUCAGUCCUUAGGGAGAGGCAGGUCAGUAAUGACAACACCGAAAAGGAAAGUCCUCGAGAAAACCCAGAGCCCUGACCUGGAGGAAGAGGACAUUGGCCCUAAAGGUGCCUGUGUCUUUUUUGUGGAGAUGGGCACUCAGGUUAUCAUCACCUGAUACGACUAUGCAUUUUAAUUUUCCAACUAACCUCAGUGUUUUCACUCUGUACUCAGCGAGCAGCCAUGUGACUGUAACCUGGCUUCCCAAGUACUUGGUCCUCAAGGAGAGAAUGGGUGUUAGCCCCUCGGCAGUUCCAUUCCGAUGUCCACGGCUGGCUGGUAGGGUGAGUCAGCAUCCCCCACAGCAGUCCCGUCCGCCCUGGGCCACUGCUAGGACCCAGCAUUUGAACAGUAGGACAGAGGGCUACAGGCUGGCCCAAGUCACACUGCGAUGAGCUGGUCUUCCUAGGAAGCUCCCAGCCUUUCCGUUCUAUGGCGCUGUCAGACUGUACCUCUCUAUUUCAAAACCCAUCAGAAUACAUCAAAGCCCUGCCUGUUAGGUAAGUAUUAUUAUGCUCAAUUUUAUAAGCAAGGAUAU
rnacentral:lncRNA from 1 species